GUGAACACAGGUAAGUAUUCAAAACACAGGGUGAAUGCAGAGAGCGGCAGGUGGAUCAGCCCUGCAGAUUUAUGCUUCCAGGGUUAAGGGUACAAAUUCAGCCUCUGGCUCUCCCUCUGUAAUGGCUUCCCAUACAGGUCUAUGUACACAGCAGGCGGAACAGAUUCCCGUACAGGAGUGCGUACAUUUCAGGUGUGACGGCCUCCCGUACAGGAGCGCGUACAUUUCAGGUGUGACGGCCUCCCGUACAGGAGCGCGUACAUUUCAGGUGUGACGGCCUCCCGUACAGGAGCGCGUACAUUUCAGGUGUGACGGCCUCCCGUACAGGAGCGCGUACAUUUCAGGUGUGAGGGCCUCCCGUACAGGAGCGCGUACAUUUCAGGUGUGAGGGCCUCCCGUACAGGAGCGCGUACAUUUCAGGUGUGAGGGCCUCCCGUACAGGAGCGCGUACAUUUCAGGUGUGAGGGCCUCCCGUACAGGAGCGCGUACAUUUCAGGUGUGAGGGCCUCCCGUACAGGAGCGCGUACAUUUCAGGUGUGACGGCCUCCCGUACAGGAGCGCGUACAUUUCAGGUGUGAGGGCCUCCCGUACAGGAGCGCGUACACAGAUGGUGUGUGAAGGUGCCAGCAUUCA